GCCAGGCAUGGUGGCGUGUGCCUGUAAUCCCAGCUACUCGGGAGGCUGAGGCAGGAGAAUCGCUUGAACCUGGGAGGCAGAGGUUGCAGUGAGCUGAGAUCAUGCCACUGCACUUCAGCCUGGGCAACAGAGCAAGACUCUGUCUCAA
rnacentral:SRP_RNA from 1 species